GAUAAACGCUGGCGGCGUGCCUAAUACAUGCAAGUCGAGCGAACGGACGAGAAGCUUGCUUUUCUGAUGUUAGCGGCGGACGGGUGAGUAACACGUGGAAAACCUACCUAUAAGACUGGGAUAACUUCGGGAAACCGGAGCUAAUACCGGAUAAUAUUUUGAACCGCAUGGUUCAAAAGUGAAAGACGGUCUUGCUGUCACUUAUAGAUGGAUCCGCGCUGCAUUAGCUAGUUGGUAAGGUAACGGCUUACCAAGGCAACGAUGCAUAGCCGACCUGAGAGGGUGAUCGGCCACACUGGAACUGAGACACGGUCCAGACUCCUACGGGAGGCAGCAGUAGGGAAUCUUCCGCAAUGGGCGAAAGCCUGACGGAGCAACGCCGCGUGAGUGAUGAAGGUCUUCGGAUCGUAAAACUCUGUUAUUAGGGAAGAACAUAUGUGUAAGUAACUGUGCACAUCUUGACGGUACCUAAUCAGAAAGCCACGGCUAACUACGUG
rnacentral:rRNA from 1 species